UAGAGAAUGUAUUAGAUCGAGCAAUGUAUCUUUGUAGGGAGUUUUGUGUAGUUUAGGAAUCCAGUAUAUGUACAGUAACUAAUGUUUACCCCUUUCAUUGACUGGGAUAUUAAAUGUGUCUAAAACUGAAGCAUGAUUUAUAAGAAUUGCAUCUUUUGAAAGGGCAGUUGGAGUAUAAUUAUGAUUACCAAAUACGGAAUAAUGCCAAGUUCGUUUCAGAUACAGCUGUGAUAAUGAACCUUACAAAUGAAGACAAUGUCGUUACAAGUUUUGUCAGCUGGAACCAAAACAUAUUCAUGCAGAUACUGUUGGUGAAUGCAAAUGCAUCAUUGCAAAGGAUCUAAAAAUAGAGGCAGUGGAUAUCGACAUUGUGGAUAUGAACUACUAUUUCGUUUAUUCAGAUGAAUUCCCAACAUUUAUGUUGCCAUUUCCCAUCCCAAUGCUCCUGUGUAGCAAACAACGUAGUGUGGAAAAUUUCCCUCCAAAGUUGAAACGUUAUAUAUCAGCUAAGGAAGACAUAGUAUUUCCAGAGGGAGGUGAAAAAACCGUUUUAAUGUCCUGUGGGCAUGCUAUAACACCAGACAAUCUUUUCCAGUACAUGAAAGUUGAAAUUAUGAGCGCAAAACACGAAAUUUACUGCUACGGCAAUACAAAAAAGAUUUGUAAUGCAAAAUGGGAAUUUUCCGAGAUAGCAGAAAAAUGCCUAUUGAACGAAGAGGAGUUGAAGUUUUACCAAGAAAGGAAAACUCUGAACUACAUUAACGAUACAGAGGUAUCACGUAUGAAGAAAUGUCCGAGGUGCAGAUGCUACUGCACAAAACAGAAUGAUUCUACUCCAAUUAUGCGUUGUCAAUUAUGUGCUGAAAAUGGAAUGGACGCUAUUUUCUGCUGGAUUUGUUUGGACGAGUGGCGACAUGAUCACGCAUGCUGUUUUGAACAGCAGAAUGCUUUUUCCUUUUGUGAAAUUCAAAAUAUUUUAAAUGGCUGUUCUAAAAUAACUUCUGGAUAUUCUAGCGUUCAAAACGUUCCAUCAAGACGCCUGUGUCCGAACUGCUUUACGCUAAUUGAAAUAAAUGAUGCAUGUAAACAGAUGUGUUGUUACUCCUGCAAAGUUGAAUUUUGUUUUAUAUGUUUAAAAUUAAAACCAGAGAAAGGAGAUUUUCUUUGCGGUAAAUUUAAUGAACCUUGUAUGGUGGCACCUGUCCAAAAGGUGAAAACAUUGCUUGAAAAUGAACAUAAAUGAGGAAAUAUUAUUUUUAAUAUGUUGUUGGUGUUGUUUUUUAUGCAAUAAGAACAAGUGUAUGUAAAUGUAGUAUGUACACGUCUACAGGAAG